GACGAACGCUGGCGGCGUGCUUAACACAUGCAAGUCGAACGCUGAAGACCUGGCUUUUGUUGGGUUGGAUGAGUGGCGAACGGGUGAGUAACACGUGAGUAAGCUGCCCUCUUCUUUGGGAUAACGCCCGGAAACGGGUGCUAAUACUGGAUAUUCACUGAUCUUCGCAUGGGGGUUGGUGGAAAGGUUUGUUCUGGUGGGGGAUGGGCUCGCGGCCUAUCAGCUUGUUGGUGGGGUGAUGGCCUACCAAGGCUUUGACGGGUAGCCGGCCUGAGAGGGUGACCGGUCACAUUGGGACUGAGAUACGGCCCAGACUCCUACGGGAGGCAGCAGUGGGGAAUAUUGCACAAUGGGCGAAAGCCUGAUGCAGCGACGCCGCGUGAGGGAUGGAGGCCUUCGGGUUGUAAACCUCUUUCGCUCAUGGUCAAGCCGCAACUGUGGGUUGUGGUGAGGGUAGUGGGUAAAGAAGCGCCGGCUAACUACGUG
rnacentral:rRNA from 1 species